AGGAAGUAAAAGUCGUAACAAGGUUUCCGUAGGUGAACCUGCGGAAGGAUCAUUAGUGAUUAAACUGUUGCCCUCUGUGCUGGCUCUGCAAGUGCACGUCGGUGACUUUCAUUCCAAUACCCUUGUGAACCUUUGGCCUCUUGCUAGCUUCGGCUGGCAGAGGAUUCUACAUACAAACUCGCAUGUAAUGAAACUCUUGUUGUGCACAAGCACUACUAUACAACUUUCAACAACGGAUCUCUUGGCUCUCGCAUCGAUGAAGAACGCAGCGAAACGCGAUAAGUAAUGUGAAUUGCAGAAUUCAGUGAAUCAUCGAAUCUUUGAACGCACCUUGCACCCUUUGGCAUUCUGAAGGGUAUGCUCGUUUGAGUGUCAUUGUACUCUCACACUUCCGAUCUUGCAUUGGGAGCGGUGGACUUGGGUUUGCUGCCUUACCGUAGCUUACCUCAAAUGUGUUAGUGCAACUCUUGGUUGGACAUAGUACGGCGUGAUAAGUAUCUUCGCCGGUGCCUCGCAAUUGCGAGGGUGGCCGAUCGGGAUGUUGUGCUCCAAACCGUCUUCGGACAAUCUCUGACAACUUGACCUCAAAUCGAGUAAGACUACCCGCUGAACUUAAGCAUAUCA
rnacentral:rRNA from 1 species